UUGACAGAGGGCUGCUCACAGAAGAGGGCAGGAGUAACCAAGGAGAACCAAAUUCUAGCCGGUGGGAGAGGUGGGGGAUUGCAAAAGUCCUUGGAGCCCGGCCAGGACAUGGGUUAGAGGUUAGAAGUGCCAUGGGUGCUCUUGUUCUGACAGCAGAGUGACGCCUGAGGUGUCAUGCCCUCCUGCAGGGUUCACAGCUUCCCGGAAUCUGAGCAGCAGCUGAGCAGCUGGGUACGCAAACAUCUCCCAUCCAGCCCCAUGAGUUCCCAGGCCCGUCCCCCUUUGCCAUCUCGCCACAUUCCAACUACACAGGGAGUUGCUGCUGAUCUCUCAGCUGGAUGUCACCCACCCCACACAGGGGACUGAGGGAAAACACCUAAGGCACCAAAGGAGGUUCAGCUUCCAUACCUGCUUUUCUCUUCCUUCGUGGGAGUUACAUGCAGAAGAAUCAUAUGAGAGGGCCACAAGAGAGAGGGAUAAAGAGCCAUCCCUUUGGGAAGAGACCUAGUCGGGUCCCCGUCUGACCCAGAAGGCUCGAAGAAUGGAUGCACCCAAAUCCAACAGAGAGGAGCAUGACCUCCACUGGAAAACACACAUGCUGGAAAAGAAAAAGCUCAUGUCCCAGCUUUGUGCUUUGAGUCCUGUUCAAUAAAU